rnacentral:sRNA from 1 species
UUAAACCUCUUUUGGGAGAAAAUGGGUAUAAGUGUUGUCUAAACACUCCUAAUCCUUCUCUAACUCUUAUAAUUAGUCCAAUGCAUUGGAUUGUGACACAUUUUGACCAUAGAAACACUAACAAAUAUAUUUACUGCUUCAAAGCAAAUUUUUGUUGGUUUUAGCCUCUUUUGGGAGAAAAUGGGUAUAAGUGUUGUCUAAACACUCCUAAUCCAUCUCUAACUCGUAUAAUUAGUCAAAUGCUUUGGAUUGUGACACAUUUAGACCAUACAAAGACUAACAAAGCUAUUUACUGCUUCUAAGCAAUUUUUUCUUGGUUUUAGCGUCUUUUGGAAGAAAAUGGCUAUAAGUGUUGUCUAAACACUCCUAACACAUCUUUAACUCUUAUAAUUGGUCAAAUGCAUUGGAUUGUGACACAUAUUUACCAUAAAAACACUAACAAAACUGUUUACUGCUUUUAAGCAAUUUUUUGUUGGUUUUAGCCUCUUUUGGGAGAAAAUGGAUAUAAGUGUUGUCAAAACACCCCUAAUCCAUCUCUAACUCAUAUAAUCAGUUAAAUGUAUUGGAUUGCAAUACAUAUUGACCAUUGAAACACUAACAAAGCUAUUUAGUGUUUGUAAGCAAUAUUUUGUUGGUUGUAGCUUCUUUUGGGAAAAAAUGGGUAUAAGUGUUGUCUAAACACUCCUAAUCCAUCUCUAACUCUUAUAAUUAGUCAAAUGCAUUAGCUUGUGACAUAUUUUGACAAUAGAAACACUAACAAAGCUAUUUACUGUUUCUAAGCAAUUUUUCGUUGGUUUUAGCCUCUUUAUGGAGAAAAUGAGUAUAAGUGUUGUCUACACACUCCUAAUCCAUCUCUAACUCUUAUAACUUGUUAAAUGCUUUGGAUUGUGACACAUUUUGACCAUAGAAACACUCAUAAAGCUAUUUACUGCUUCUAAGCAAUUUUUUGUAGGUAUUAGCCUA